rfam:Pan troglodytes isolate Yerkes chimp pedigree #C0471 (Clint) chromosome 15, whole genome shotgun sequence.
AUCCUUCUAUAUAGUUCAUAAGCUUGAUGAUCGGUGUUCACACACAUGUGAGAUACGCCACCUGUGAACCUUGUUAGGACAUCAGCACAUUACCCAUCUGACA